AGAUUUCUCCUCCUGCACAGCACCACCUGGCUCUAAACAGGACAUUGCUCUUUCCAGGACGUUUGCCUGGUCCCUGUGGGCUCCGAGUCUGGGACCCUAAGACAUGACCUGAGGGCCCCUUCAGCAAUGGGAAGAGACUACUGGGAACACUGCGGUAAAACAAAGGAAAAUCCACUGUGUCCCCUUUCAGGAAGAAAAGUGAUUAUGUUAAUCUUUCUUUGCCCUGGGGCUGGACCGUGCUGUCAGGGCCCCACGUCUCUCUGACCUGCCACUGGAGCGACCGGCCUUUAACCCUGGGCAGACCCCCUCCGUGGCUGCAGCCACCACGUCCACACCCGGCAAUGUCCGGAGGAUGGAAAGGAACGUUCUUGCCCAGUGGUAACAUUUUAGGAGGCAGAGGCCAUUCCUAGACACCCAGCAGACAUCCUGUCCUGUUCCCUUGGUUAGGAACAGGCUAAGCCCCAGGACAGUGUGAUCACAAGAUCAGUGUGGCCCAUCAGAAGUUACCACUGCAGUCCAGGAUGUAAUAUGGACCCAAAUGAAAUCAUGGCUCUACCAGCAAGGAAGAAGGUUGUUUCUCAAACGGUGGCUGCCUCAAGAGCUUUUCAAGGCCAUUUGCAGACUGAAGGAGUCUGAGUUAAGGCGUGUCUGUUGCCAGUUUGCGGUGCUGAAGUCGGCACGUGGUACGUUGGCACAUGGUCUGUAGGCCUGCGGUGUGUGCUGUGCCGGACACAACAUACCCAGGUUCUAACCCCUUGGCCAUCUGAGCCCAAAUGGACAGAAACAAAGGGACAACCACAGAUAAAGCCACCUGUCAGGUGAAGAUCGCUGUAAUCAUUUCUGCUCCUGAAAAAUUCCUCAGGGGACACUUUGUGUCACGUAUUAAGAAAACAGAAUAGAUUAAUUGGAGGAAAGAGGAAGAACAGGAGGAGACUCAGCAGUUCAAUGAACAUUUCUUGAGAGUAAUACUGGAAAUCCGAAUGCCAGCUGUGCCAGGGACGCCGUGGUGCGUCUCGGGGAGCAGAAUCCGGAGCAGGCGGAGGGCCGGGUGGGGAGACCCCUGCGCGGCCCGGAUCCCGCCCCCAGCCUGGAGGGGAUGAUGGCGGGACCUGAGCCCUAUGAAAUUGCCAGUGUUCUCUUGUCCUUGACUUACAAAAAUGGCAAUUUUACACGGCUCGCUGUAAAGAAAUGGAGAAAGAGGAACUUAGUUAAGAAAUGGAGAAAGAGGAAUUUAGUUAAGAAAUGGAGAAAGAGGAACGACACCAAUGGAAAUGAAUACUGAAAAUUUCGAGGUUCCUUAUAUUACAAGGAAUCCAGCUAGGGGGACUAGUUCUCCCUAAAAGGGGUUCCUAGCCCCAUCUCCUGCCUUCCCUGCUCCUUUCUCCUCCUCCACUGGACUCUGCCCACCUGCUCUUGUUGGAUCAUGGUGUAGGGAUGGGUCCACAGCUAGCAUUGGGGACUGUGGCCUCCAGAUUCCUAACUCGCUGACUGUGGCCAAGGCGGAGUCCACAGCGGGCAGCUCUAGGCCGUCGUCCUGGGCUCGUUCCUGGAGGCCCAUCUUCCGCCAGCUCCUCCAGGCCAGCCAGCGGCUUGGCCGUCGCCUGAUUCCCUGGACCAGAUCCUCCCUGCUCACACUGGCCAGAGGGGUGCAUCUGCGAUGUGCAUCUGAUCCUGACUGGUAAAGAGGAGCAGGAGAAUGCUCACCUUUUUCAUCCCUGUUUCUUUCCUUAAGACAAGUUUCAUCUGCCACUGAUUUCCGAAUGCACUCCAAAAACACAGCAAGCCGAGUGCAACUUCUACCUUAAAAGAGUCCCAUUGGUAUGCAUCUAAAACUGGGGCUAAAAUAAAUUCCAUCAACUAAAAUUCUCAUCUAAGUGAGCAUUUAACCACUUAUAGACUUUACCAAAAUCACAACAAGAAGAAAAUUCUCUAUAUUUUCCCCAGAACAGGUAUAUUAGAAAAAUGCUGAAAGACUUGAGAAUAUAAAGACAUCACAAAAGGGCUCAUCAUUUCAAAAAGAGAAUCAUCAUGAUCAUCUUACUUCACUAGCUCAAAUAAAAUGCAAUGGUUUCUUAUAAUCCAAGCAGUACCCACCAUUUCAGGAGUAUUUAUUGAGUACAUUGAUGUACACAGUAUUGCUUUUACAAUGAGAAACCUGCUGAACUUGCAGAGGUUUGCUGGAGAGUAAUUGCUGACUUUUAAAUGACAAUCAUUAUACUGAGUUUUUCCAUGAAUUUUCUCAUUUAAUCCUGCCAACAAUCUCAUGACAGGGAAACUGGCACACAGAGAGGUUAAGUGACUUGCCCACGGUCACACAGCUUGCAAGGGGUAGAGCUGGGGUUGGAACCCUGGGCCAUGUGAUAGCCAGCUCGAUGUCUGGCCACCAUGGCUGCAGUGCCCCCAAGGGUGUUGUGUGUAGCCUUUCCUACUCCACUCAACUCGUAGUGUAGACCCCCGACGACUUUCUUCUACUUUGUGCUUCUGAAAUUUGUCUCUGGCUGCUCUUCUCUCAAGGUGGGAAUCUCACAAUCUAUAAUGCUUUUUGGACCAUCACCUUGUUAUUUUACUUGAAUUUUAGAAAUUAGAAGGGUAACAAGGAUUUCAUUUUCUCAACUGGCUUCGCUUUGCAGACCCAACGCACCGUGACACCGUUCAGAGCGGUUUUCCCCGUUCGGGUCUUGGCAGGAACGAAGAGCAUCCUUCCCACCACGUGGUCCACAUGAGGGCUCAGGGAAGACCUAAGCAUGAUGCUGUCUGCGAAGGCGACUUUGGCAUCGGCUGCCAAGCUCCUGGGUCGAGUUGGGUGAAGUGUUCGUGGAAGAUUGGGGUCCGGGGCCGCCUGACAGGAGCAAGUGGCCUGAUUGUUCGUUCCUGCAUUCAUAAACAAACAAACAAACAAACAAACAAACAAACAAACAAACAAACAAACAAACAGCGGGGGUGGACGCCGAGCAUUUUUACAGCCGAGAUUGCUGCAUUCAGAAGGAACGUUGUUGACCUGCUGGUUGUCAGGAUUCUGGACCAUGGUCACCUCCUGCCCAAGGACACGGUUAAGGACCAGGCUCCCACCUGACCCUGUGGAGGCUCCUUGCUUGCAUUUGCCAACCUGCUGUGUAGACCAGUCUUUGAUCUGUAUGAAAUCACCCACAGUCGUCAGGAACAACCUUGAUUCAUUCUCUCUGGGGUCACUUACCUUUUGUCUCUGGGGUAACUUGGAUUCUUCGCAGAGCAGGGCAUUCUCCUUGAGCAAAUAGAGAAGAAACGUCCGGCAGGCCUCCAUGAACCUGGCCAUGAUGCCGCUCCCCCUGGGGUUUGGAGCAUCUCCAGACAAACUGUGCCCCUCUGGUUUGUAGCCGCGGCAACUCCAGGGACACCAGAGCUCUGCAGGCUCCAGUUUCCCCAUUUUGCUCAAGUGGGUUUGUUCUGGUUUUCAUUGCUGCUUCUUUAACUCAGACAUCAGACUAAACAUUUGAGAAUGCCCUCCCACUGUCUGUCCUUCUCUGCAAUGUAUUCAUGUUCUGCCUUCCCCGGACAGAGGCCAGCUGUCCCUCUGGCCCCUCACGACACCCUGUCUCUGUCACACUGACCACAGUGUUCAGCUAUUAUUUUUCUGCUUUCCUCUGGUAUCCAUAGACUGUGAGCUCCAGGGCACUCAAGAGAUGUUUGCUGAAGUGAAUUUAGUUAUUUUAUUCAAGCCUCGAAAUCACCUGGCACAGGAGGUGGAUUCUUCCCUGCAGAGGGAGAAACUGAGUCGCAGCCGUGUUCAGAGACAACCACAGGAGCCUCAUGGCAUUGGUGGUGGAGCCGGGACUUGGACUGCUAUAUCCAGGCUCCCAGAUGCUAGACCCUGGGCAGUUUUCCUGUUGUCCUUGGCUCAGUUGACCAAGCUACACCUGCCCUUUGAUUGGAAGGGGAGUUUCUAACACAUCUGGAGGGUCUGGAUGGGGUCAGGUGAAUGGGUACCUCCUGUUUUCAAGGCCAUCCUCAGAGCUGCCUAAAUUUCAGCCUUAGGGCAUGUUGGUGGGCCCCUCGGGCUCAGGAGAGGGGCCAUCCUAGAGGUCCUCCUGAGCCCCCCAGCCCUGGAGCAGGCCCCUCCCUGUCUGUGGCCCCCAGGGCAUUGAUCACACAAAGCCAGGGCCCCUGGUUACCACGGCAACCUCAUCCCAUGUCACAGUGCUGUGUGGGUGCAUCCUGAUGGCUGAGCCCUCAGCAGCUUGUCUGCCCUCUGCACACAAGGGACACUGGACAAAGUGGGGCGUGGGACUCCAGGUUGGAAGGCACGAUUCACACCUGGAGAAGCAAUGCUAAUAAGAGAGGCAUGUACACGACUUGGCGAGUGGCAAGUCGGUAAUGACAGAUGUCCACUGCACUGCGAGUCCUUCUCUUCCCCCACCUUCUAAACAGGGCUGAGGAUGUUGGAGAUACAGUUUCAAUUAGUGCUCAGGUCGUCUCCGGUGCCCUGUCCCUGAACACUGGAGAAAGUUCCUGUGGUAAAAUGUAGCAGGGACCAGGCCCUCCUCAGAUGGCGAAACUCUGGCACCUUGAUCUUGGACUCCUCAGCGUCCAGAACUGCUCUUUAUAAAUUAACUAGUCUCAGGUAUUUUGUUAUAGCAGCACAAAUGAACUGAGACAGUUCUUAAUCGUUUGGCCUGGAGAUUAUCCAAGUGGGCCUAAACUAAUGACACGAGCCCUUUCGAGCAGAGAGUGUUCUCUAGUGGCUGGUGGAAGGAGAAGUCAGGGGGAUCCAAAGGCGACAGGGAGGUUCUCCCUUCCUGGCUUUGAUGUGGACUGGGUCACUAGGCAAUAGUUAGUAAGAAAACAGAACCUGAGUCCCAGAACCACAAGGAACUGAGUUUUGGCACAGUCUGGAGGGGCAGAAAGCAGACUGUCCUUGGAGCCCCUGGGCAACACACCUGGGGGCUCCAGGUUUCAGCUCCAGCAAGCACAGGCAGAGACCCCAGCCCAGCCCUCCAGGGCUUCUGAGCUGCAGGACUGUGUGAUGAUCCAUGGGUGCUGUUUAAAGCUGCUAAGUUUGUGGCAUUACACAGCCCUAGAUAACUCUAGCAUUGGGUCACUGCCGUGCGGUGACUGUUUAUCUUCUGGGCACCACCAAAGGGACUGUUGGCAGGGCAGAAGCACCGUGAGGUGGCUUCUCCUUGGUCUCUGGAGCCCUGUCGAUGUCCGUCCCCCUUCUGUGGACAGGGAGUGCAGGGGGGCGCUUGCUGCUCCAGUGAUGGAGGGACUGGCGGUGCCCAGGGCCAGGGGCUCCCACCUGAAGACGCCACCAGUGGCAAGAGACUUGUCUGUGACUGAGAGGCCAAAGAGCAUAUGGUGGCUCAGUGGGACGCCCAGGAGAAGGACGGCUUCUCAAGUGUCUUCUGACUCAUCGUCCUACUUCUCCCUGGAGGAUGAGCUGUGACCGAGGAGGGCAGACACAGGCAGCCAGCGCGAGGGACGUAAGGUCCUGGUGAUAUCUCUUUAACUCAGCCUUCACUUUGAUUGGUGAGGCCUUGCUGGCGAAAUGCGUGAGGCUCACGCUCCAGACUGUAAACCUAAUAGGAAUUCGGUUCGCUUCACGAGUCAAGAUAAUUGUGCUUUGAGAAAUGCUUUCAACAUAACAUUAAUUUUGACCUUUACGUAAAGAGUGACAUCAGUGUAUUUUUAAAAUGGAUAUUCAUGCAUGACACAGUUUCCAUUAUCACCUUAUCAGAUUUCCCAGUUGCUGCAGCAGUAGGGAGUUCAGUUGUUUAAAAUAAGCAAUCACUUAUUUUUAUGCUCUUGUGGGGACAUGUUAUGGUGAUUGAAUGGAAUUUUCUUUUUCCUUUUUUUUCCCACCCCGACGAGGGCCUCAAGAACAAAGGCCGUUGGAGAGGCUGGUCUUCCGCACAGAGCCCAUUGGUUGUGACCAGGCUUGACUGAAAACGAAGAGCACAGCAGAGCAUUGGCACCCUCGUCCCUCCUGCUCUGCGCUGCUGCUGGUCAGACUCAUGGCAGGAAACGGCCACACACUUUGAUUAGCCUUUGAUUUCACAGCUUUUGUGUAAAAUAUUUUAAAAACAGGUUCUGUGUAUAUAUAAAUUCUGGCUGGACGAUUGGAACCUUUUUCCUGCUGCCUGUUGGCAGGUGGUGAAGUCACAGGGGCAAGAGCCCGAUAAGUGGGUUUUGGGUAGCAGUGGCUGCCCUGUUUAUGUGGCUAUUUUUCUGGGUCAUUCUUUUUAAACAUUUAACUAACAUGAAUCAUUGAAUCUAGGUGCAUAAAAUGUACACAGAAUGGGAUUUAUUGGUUCUCCAAGAAGUAGAAUAAUUUAUAGUCUGUUAUUUGCCAACAGUGGCAUUCCCACUUGACUCUGGAUUGUCUGCGGUUCCAGAGAGCCACAGGGCCUGCACUCUUGCUUAUUUUAGCAGCUCAAGGGCUUUGCCCCAACCUCUUGCUUGUCCUAUCCACUGGAGUUUCACACACGGCCACUAAGUGCCAAAUGCUGUCUCCUACUCAGUAGCUGGUUCCUCUGGAUGAACUCCAAGGAGUCCUGGAGUCAAGAUGGUCUCAUGAUGGGGGAGCAGCCAGAAGACCUUGGCCAACCUUUCUAUAAUUGGUACACACACACACACAUACAUACACAUACACAUUCAUGCUGAUGUACGCAUGAGCUGUAUGUGUAUGUGUGUGUAUAAAUACAGGUUGAGUAUCCCUUAUCCAAAAAAAAUGGUUGGGACGAGAAGUGUUUGGGAUUUCCAUUUUUUUCAGAUUUUGGGUUAUUCCAUUUACAUAAUGAGAUAUUUUGGGGAUGAGAUCCAAAUUUAAACACAAAAUGCAUUUAUGUUUCAUAUACACUUUAAAACAGCCUGAAAGUAAUUUUAUACAACAUUUUAAAUAAUUUUGUGCGUGAAACAAAAGUUUUGACUGUGACCUGUCCCAUGAGGUCAGGUGUGGAAUUGUCCACCCGUGGUAUCAUCUUUUUAUCAUUCAAAAGUUCAAAGUUUGGAUUCUAGAUUUUUGCAUUAGGAAUGCCCAACCUGUACAAUAAAUGUGUUUAUUUAUUUCUUAGCUCUAAGACCCCUCUGAAGAUGUUGGAAAAGAGGAGAGGGGAGACAAGAGCACAGAGAUUACUGUGCAAAGCCUGAAAUCAGCCUGACAGAGGGAAAUGGACGCCGCUUCGCCAGGAGCUGCUCUUCCGGGGGCCGCCGAGAACCCAAGCUGGCAGGGACAGCACGUGUGUCUCAUGCCCGAGGCCUCUGCCCUGAGCAGGGGCCACUGCGAGCA